ACACAUACACAUAUAGUGUAAAUGUGCAUAUAUUCACAUUAAAUAUCUCAGUAAAAGAAGUGCUAGGUGAAACUCAUAUAUGAAACAGGAUCACUUAUAGAAAGUUUCCAUGAAACAGAAAUUCUAAGAGCAUCCCAUUUUUCAUCACACAAAGCUGAAAAACUUCCAUAUUGGAUCAUUUCUUGCUCUUGAGAUAAUACAUAAAGUAACUUACAAUAGAUAUGUACAGACCAUCCUUUGAAUAUCUUGUUUGCGAAUAUAAGGAAUAUGCCCACAUCAGGCUUGCUGAUGUUGAUGCAGCACCCUGAAUACCGUUAAUAAGGAAUAUUAAGAGCUGUGAUGGUAACUGGUACAACAGAUUUGACAAAGUUGUGUCAAAUCUUAUUGUAUUGUCUCAAGUUAGCACUUUUCCUCGGACUUACUUAUUAAAAACAUCUUCAAAAUUGACUCCUCAGAAAUGGAUUUUACAGUGGAUCUCAGAUUUUUUAUAUGCAUUCAUGAUUCUUUCCAAGAAAGAUGUCCAUAUGCGAAAACAUGCUAACUGAAGUGUCUUUGUUGUUGCUUAUUCUGGAAACAUCCCUCUGUGCAGAUCGUGUAUAUCGUAUAGAUGAAGAGAAUGACCCAGGAACUUUUGUUGGUGAUAUUGCAGCAGAUACAAAACUAUUAGGCAUCAUAUCUCCAAAGGAUGACAGCAAUAUUUGGUUCAGUCAGCUUCACCAAGAGAAUACAAACACGUCAAAGUUGUUCAAUGUCACUAAAACAGGCAAAUUAUAUACAGCUCAAAGACUAGAUGCAGAAACUCUUUGUAAAUACAAUGUAGAAUGUUUCAAAAUGGUAGAUGUUGCAGUUCAACAGAAAAAAUAUUUUAUUAAAAUAUUGGAAGUCAAAAUUAUUAUUGAAGAUAUAAAUGACAACAAGCCAGAAUUUCGAAACAAAGAAAUUGAACUUGAAUUUUAUGAAACUGAUGGCAAAGGAACAAAAAAAUCUAUACCUAAUGCCAUAGACAAAGAUGUAGGUAUACAAAAUUCACAAAUAACAUAUUUACUAAAGAACAAUAAUGAUGAUCUUUUCACAUUAUCAGUUUCAAAAAAUAUGGAUGGUACUUCCAAAAUUGGUAUUAUUUUACAAGAGAAACUUGACAGAGAAGUACAAGAUUCUUAUCAGCUUCAAGUUAUUGCAAAAGAUGGAGGCCAUCCCCCUAGAGAAGGUGUUCUUAAUCUCCAAAUAUCAGUUCGAGAUGAAAAUGACAACUCUCCAGUCUUCUCCCAAAAUAUUUACAAUGUUUCUAUCAAAAAUGGUUAUCAACGAUCAACACCUAUAGUCACUUUAUCAGCAACUGACUUAGAUUCUGGUAAAAAUGGUAAAGUAAUGUACCAGUUCAGUCCCAAAACAUCAGAGAGUGCCAGAGCCUAUUUUAAAUUAAAUGAAUCAACAGGGGAAAUCUGGGUGGUGCAAAAGUUUCCAACAGGUUCCAAGAAGGUAUAUAAAUUGUUUGUUAAAGCAAAGGAUGGAGGUAAUCCUUCCUUAGGUUCAGUUGCUCUGGUUUUAGUUAAUAUAAAUAAUCAAGAGAACAACCCUCCUGAUAUAGAUAUGAAUUUUAUAGCAAAAUCACCAGAAAAUUUGCCAAGCAUUUCAGAGGGUGUAAAAGUUGGUAACUUUAUUGCUUAUGUAAAGGUCACAGAUGAUAAUGAAGUUUCUUGUUAUAUUAAUCAUGAUCACUUUCAACUUCAGGCUCUUGCACGUAAAAAGUAUAAAGUUGUUAUUAAGAAAACAGUUGACAGAGAAGUAGAAAACCACAUAGAUUUUACCAUCACAUGUGAAGACAAAGGAUCUCCACCAUUAAAAACUGAGAAACGAUUUUCAGUGCAAGUAUCAGAUGUUAAUGAUGUACAACCAACAUUUACUAAAGAUACUUUUGAAUUUUUAACCUAUGAAAAUGAAAAUAGAAAUUUUCCAGUAGGCUUCAUCAAUGCAACCGACCCUGAUCUUGGAUCAGGAGGUGAAUUAUCUUAUUUUCUUAUAAGCAGAGAUGGGAGUGUUCUUCCCUUUAAAAUCUCUCAUUUAGGAUUCAUAUCAACUACUCAGUCUUUAGACCGUGAACAACAUGACAUUUACAGAUUUAAAGUGUUAGUAAAAGAUAAUGGUACACCAUCUCUUAACAACACAGCUAACGUUGUUGUUGAAGUUAUGGACAAAAAUGAUAAUACUCCCUAUUUUACUUUCCCUAGUGUUAACCCUUUCAAUCUAGAUUUCCAUCACCAUCCACAGAGUAAGAGUGACAUCACAACAUUAAGAGCCUCCGACAGAGACAAACAUGUUAAUGCUUUCCUCAGGUAUGAAAUACUUGGAGGCAAUGACAAACAUUUAUUCAAAGUUAACCAUUAUACUGGAGUUUUGUCUUUCUCUCGUACAGUUUACCAAAAUGAUGCUGGAUCAUAUAAUCUAAAAUUAGCUGUCAAAGAUAAUGGUACACCAGUUUUAUCAGCAACCACUACACUGUCUUUGACACUAACUGUUAGCAAUACAACAGCCAAAAUGUACAUCUCUGAAGAUACAGAAUCAGACAACAGAAUACAUAUUAAUUUGAUGAUUAUUAUAGUAGUAGCAGCAGUGAUAGUUUCUGUUGCUAUUGUAGUUUCUGUAAUUGUUUGUGUUGUUCAUAAAAGAAAUCAAAAAGAAAACCAUUAUGGUGCUACUCAAGACUUUGUUGGUGAGAGAAGGCCAUCUGGAUACGUUUGUGAACAAGACUCUCCAAAAUAUGAUGUUCCUGUUGCAAUCUUAUCAGAUCCAAAACAAAUAAGAAAUUCUAAAACAGCUCUUUUUCGAAGAGAUCCUCACUCCAUAUACAAACCUGGACAGAGUUGGAAAGGGUCAUCAUUAGGAGUACAGCUACAAUGUAUUACUCCUGAAUUGCAUCAAAUACAAGGUAACCCUCCAGAUUUCUCAGUGACCCGUGUUAUUGGUAAAGAUCAACAACAUAUGGUUAUGUCCCCUGACCGUUUCAGUGAGAUGUCAACGAUGUCUUCUGUAACUGACAGUGGACAUGGCUGCAGUGAAGCAAGUACUGCUCACUAUGAAACUUUACCUGGUCUGAAAUCUCUUCAAGAACAGACACCCAGCACAGGCAGGAAAUCCUUAUCACAGACAUUAAUUAAACCAAAAGGUACCAAUCCUAGGUCUUCCUAUCAACCUAACCCUAGUCUUUUUACUCAUGGCAAUAAUAUAAUAAACUUAAAAUCUACACAAGCAGAUAACACCAAACCUAAAUUAUUGCAAGCUCAACCCUGGAAUCUACCAACAAGGAACAGUUUCACUUCAUACACCAAACCUUUACCAAAAGUACCUUAUUCAUGAAUCUUUUGGAAGAUAAUUUUCAAGUACAUCCUGAUAUCCCAUCACUGGACAUUCUCAAGUGAUCUUUAAACAAUGUGAAAUUUUGUAAUAUUUCAUUACUAAUCUAUUUGCAAAAAAUGGAUUGGCAUCUCAUUUCAAUUUUCGCAUUGUGCAUUGGAUUUCUAAACUGAAUGGAUCACUUUUACCACUAUUCCUUGUUAUAACAUUCAAGGGAAAAUAAACACCUUAUGUAAUAAUAUAUAACUAAUAUAUACAUAAAUAUAUAUCCUUUAAAGUUUAGUUUAAUAUAUAAAUAUAUUAGAUGGACUAUCUUGUGAUGUCACUGAAUGUAAUCCCUUAAAUAACCUUCAUUCUGACUUACAAUAACAAACUUAUAGCUAAAUUUUAGAUGCUAAUGCUGAAAAUUCAAAUAAUUAUAAUGAAAUAUAUUGCUCAAUUGUAAAUUUCUAAAAAGAUAAAUUUUGUUUGGAAAAGUUUUCAAAAAUACUUUUAAUCCAAUAUUCUGCUGGAUAGAGAAAAUAUUUUGCAUCAUAUUGCUGUUGCUGGUCCAACCAAAAAUAAUCUUUACUGAGCAGGUUACAUUGCUUUGGUUAAGCAAGAAUCUAAAGUAAUAGAGUUUUUGUUUCCCUUCCAUGGGAACCAUAAACAGCUUGUCAUUGGCUGUAGCAGAUAUUACAUACACCACACUUGAUAGGUUGCAGACCUCUCUAUCACUCUCUCUCUAUCUCUCUCUCAUACAUCCAUACAAUAUCACAGACCAAAGUACACAGUACUGCCAGCACACAACAGCAGCAGUAACGAUACAAUUCUACAGCAGGAUACACAUCGCAUCUAAUGAUAAACUGGAACCUAUUUACUUAUCU